AUGCUCACUUAAUUGCCUCUGCAAUUUCCAACAACAUGCCUUUAAUAUCCCAAACCAAGGCUUGGCCUGUUGGGGUUGGGAACCUCACCUCGUUUCUUGGGGAAGAGAUGACAAUCAUGCGUGUGGAGGACUGUGUUCAUUUGCUUUCUCCUGCCUAUAGAUUUCUGCUUCUGAGGCUUCAGUUCUGAACCAAAAAAAGUUGAAUUGACUGGUUUGUUGUGAUACCUAAUGUGGUCCUUAGUUGCUGUAAUUUCAAGCAUGACUCGCAUGAUAUUCAAUAUCCCAAGCGAUAAGGUGUAAAACUCCAUUUUCAAACUUGAGAACUUUGAUUUUGGAAGGGAUACAUGAAAA
rnacentral:misc_RNA from 1 species